rnacentral:rRNA from 1 species
UAGGGAAUCUUCGGCAAUGGGGGGAACCCUGACCGAGCAACGCCGCGUGAGUGAAGAAGGUUUUCGGAUCGUAAAGCUCUGUUGUUAAGGAAGAACGAGUGUGAGAAUGGAAAGUUCAUACUGUGACGGUACUUAACCAGAAAGGGACGGCUAACUACGUGCCAGCAGCCGCGGUAAUACGUAGGUCCCGAGCGUUGUCCGGAUUUAUUGGGCGUAAAGCGAGCGCAGGCGGUUAGAUAAGUCUGAAGUUAAAGGCAGUGGCUCAACCAUUGUAGGCUUUGGAAACUGUUUAACUUGAGUGCAGAAGGGGAGAGUGGAAUUCCAUGUGUAGCGGUGAAAUGCGUAGAUAUAUGUAGGAACACCGGUGGCGAAAGCGGCUCUCUGGUCUGUAACUGACGCUGAGGCUCGAAAGCGUGGGGAGCGAACAGG